rnacentral:rRNA from 1 species
AACGAACGCUGGCGGCAGGCUUAACACAUGCAAGUCGAGCGCAUCCUUCGGGGUGAGCGGCGGACGGGUGAGUAACGCGUGGGAACGUGCCCUCUUCUACGGAAUAGCCUCGGGAAACUGAGAGUAAUGCCGUAUACGCCCGCAAGGGGAAAGAUUUAUCGGAGGAGGAUCGGCCCGCGUUGGAUUAGGUAGUUGGUGUCGUAACGGCCUACCAAGCCGACGAUCCAUAGCUGGUUUGAGAGGAUGAUCAGCCACACUGGGACUGAGACACGGCCCAGACUCCUACGGGAGGCAGCAGUGGGGAAUCUUGGACAAUCGGGGCAACCCUGAUCCAGCCAUGCCGCGUGAUCGAUGAAGGCCUUAGGGUUGUAAAGAUCUUUCAGCUGGGAAGAUAAUGACGGUACCAGCAGAAGAAGCCCCGGCUAACUCCGUG